UGAGGGAUGGAGGCCUUCGGGUUGUAAACCUCUUUUGUUAGGGAGCAAGGCACUUUGUGUUGAGUGUACCUUUCGAAUAAGCACCGGCUAACUACGUGCCAGCAGCCGCGGUAAUACGUAGGGUGCAAGCGUUAUCCGGAAUUAUUGGGCGUAAAGGGCUCGUAGGCGGUUCGUCGCGUCCGGUGUGAAAGUCCAUCGCUUAACGGUGGAUCCGCGCCGGGUACGGGCGGGCUUGAGUGCGGUAGGGGAGACUGGAAUUCCCGGUGUAACGGUGGAAUGUGUAGAUAUCGGGAAGAACACCAAUGGCGAAGGCAGGUCUCUGGGCCGUUACUGACGCUGAGGAGCGAAAGCGUGGGGAGCGAACAGGAUUAGAUACCCUGGUAGUCCACGCCGUAAACGGUGGAUGCUGGAUGUGGGGCCCGUUCCACGGGUUCCGUGUCGGAGCUAACGCGUUAAGCAUCCCGCCUGGGGAGUACGGCCGCAAGGCUAAAACUCAAAGAAAUUGACGGGGGCCCGCACAAGCGGCGGAGCAUGCGGAUUAAUUCGAUGCAACGCGAAGAACCUUACCUGGGCUUGACAUGUUCCCGACGAUCCCAGAGAUGGGGUUUCCCUUCGGGGCGGGUUCACAGGUGGUGCAUGGUCGUCGUCAGCUCGUGUCGUGAGAUGUUGGGUUAAGUCCCGCAACGAGCGCAACCCUCGCCCCGUGUUGCCAGCGGAUUAUGCCGGGAACUCACGGGGGACCGCCGGGGUUAACUCGGAGGAAGGUGGGGAUGACGUCAGAUCAUCAUGCCCCUUACGUCCAGGGCUUCACGCAUGCUACAAUGGCCGGUACAACGGGAUGCGACAGUGCGAGCUGGAGCGGAUCCCUGAAAACCGGUCUCAGUUCGGAUCGCAGUCUGCAACUCGACUGCGUGAAGGCGGAGUCGCUAGUAAUCGCGAAUCAGCAACGUCGCGGUGAAUGCGUUCCCGGGCCUUGUACACACCGCCCGUCAAGUCAUGAAAGUGGGCAGCACCCGAAGCCGGUGGCCUAACCCCUUGCGGGAGGGAGCCGUCUAAGGUGAGGCUCGUGAUUGGGACUAAGUCG
rnacentral:rRNA from 1 species